GACGAACGCUGGCGGCGUGCUUAACACAUGCAAGUCGAACGGAAAGGCCCUGCUUUUGUGGGGUGCUCGAGUGGCGAACGGGUGAGUAACACGUGAGUAACCUGCCCUUGACUUUGGGAUAACUUCAGGAAACUGGGGCUAAUACCGGAUAGGAGCUCCUGCUGCAUGGUGGGGGUUGGAAAGUUUCGGCGGUUGGGGAUGGACUCGCGGCUUAUCAGCUUGUUGGUGGGGUAGUGGCUUACCAAGGCUUUGACGGGUAGCCGGCCUGAGAGGGUGACCGGCCACAUUGGGACUGCGAUACGGCCCAGACUCCAACGGGAGGCAGCAGUGGGGAGUAUUGCACAAUGGGCGGACGCCUGAUGCAGCAACGCCGCGUGCGGGAUGACGGCCUUCGGGGUGUAAACCGCUUUCGCCUGUGACGAAGCGUGAGUGACGGUAAUGGGUAAAGAAGCACCGGCUAACUACGUG
rnacentral:rRNA from 1 species